CUUCUAAGUUUUAACAAAAAACACUUUGGAGACGACGACAAACAGCUCCUCUCCAGAUUGUUCUCUCAGUUGGAAUCAUUAAAAGAAGAUGGAAAGCUGAAGCAAUCCGAACCAGAGGAAGUUAAUUCUCGAAAGGGUGAUGAUGAUAAAGCAGA